rnacentral:misc_RNA from 1 species
GAAAAAAUUGAAGGGUGAAAUAACAAGGGCUGAUGAAGAGAAAAGACAUGCUGAUGCUGAAAGGAAAAGAGCAGAAGCAAAUAGGCUUAGUUUGGAAAAUCUGAAAAAGGAAGCUGAUCAAGUGAAAUCGAAGUUAGCUUUGGUGAUUUUGGAGUUUGAGGAUGCUAAUAAGAAGCUGGAGGCAGAAAGAGAAAACACAUCCAAAGAGAGAAAACGUGCAGAUGCAGCAGAGAUGAAAACUGUAGAGCAAAAAAAGAUUGCAGAAGCCAACCGCAAAAUGGCCAUGAAUGAAAAAAGUCGUGCUACUGCUCUAUUUUGGCAGUUGGAACAGGAUAGACAAAAGGUUGACAAUUUGAAGAAGGAGAUUGGUGAACUCAUGGCAUCUGGUAAAAUGGCUAACAUCGUAUCU